ensembl:antisense Kirrel3os kirre like nephrin family adhesion molecule 3, opposite strand
GAUGGUGAGCCUAUUGCUGUCCUCCGAGGUGAAUCUGGGCUGAGGUGAGACGAUCCUGUGAAGCUAUGGUAGCACAGACAGUCUGUGACUCUGACAGCCUCACACACCUGUCCGCAGGACACAAUCUGCCAAGGUUGUCCUGGACACUAUGAGUCUCUAAUGAAGAGCAAUCGGGCUGACCAAGGGAAGGAGAAGGAGCGAGCCAAGAUAACACUGCAGUGCCCCGUAGAGAAGAGAUUUGCAGAAGCACUGUGUCCUUGUACUGUGCGGUGGAGCCAGGAGUUCUAAGCUGGCACCAAAGGUCGUUUGGCUUUGCCUCUGGGGACAUCUAUCAAGAGUGGGCUGUCCCUCUCCCAGUACUUGUUAACUCUGCACAAGUGCAAUUGGAGUAUCCAUUUGGAACAGCAAGUACUAAGAAACGUUGUAUUUUUCCGAAGCACCUGCAUAUAUAUUGCAUAUAUAUUAUCUUUACAACAAAUACAUGCAACAUUUGUUGUAAAGGGUUGGUUGUUAAAAAUAAAAAUAUUUUUUUUCUUUGUUUUAUACCUAAUUAAAUAGUACCCGAGGAAGUAUUUGCUUCAUGCAAAUAACACACCAUUUUAUUUACAGUUUUAUUCUGUUCACCAUGUGACUUUUCUGGUCCUCACAGGCAGCUGUGACUUUUUUUCUUGCAUGACAAUGCUCACUCAAAUUAUUUUUGUUGCUACUUCAUAACUGUCAUUUUGCUACUGUUAUGAAUCAUAAUGUGAGUGUCUGGUAUGCAGGUAUCUGGUAUAAAAAACGACCCACAGGUUGAGAACAGUCGUUCUAGAAGACAGAGGCUCAAUUCCCAGCACUCACAUGGAGGCUGUCUAGUGCCUCUCUGUCUGUAACUCCAGUUUCAGGGGGAGCUGAUGACCUCUUUUGGCUGCUGCAGGGGACGACAGCUUCUGAUCCCCAGUUCCAGUGAGCCCUUCCGUUGGAAGAUUUCUCUUAGGCAGUGUUUGUGCUAAGGGGGUGCUGGGGCCAGCAAGAGUGCUGGAAGCAAAUGCUCCCACCCCUUGUGUAUGAGUCCUAAGCAUCUUCCAGCCAAUUUACCUUAAGAGAUAGUAUGUAAAUGUCCUACUCCUGGGGUCUCCUGACUUUGAUUCAUUAUUCUACAACGUGUCUCAGAGUUCCUAUGAAUCUAGGCUCUAGUUGUCCGCAGUGAUAACAGGCCAGCGAUACCCCAUCUUGGUUCCAUUCUUCCAUGUCAAUUUUUAAAAUGUCACUCUGGUACCCUCUUUUCUGGCAGAUAAAUGAUCACAUUUAAAUGUGCCUCUGGGGUAGCUGGGCAAAGUGAGAAUAUUCUCCCAUGUCUCCCGCAGCUCUGAGUACACAGUCAGCACCUGAUAAAUCCUCAAAGCAAACAGAAAUGAACUUUCAGAACAGACCCCAGUGCAGCUAUCAGCACACUGAGAGUAGGCUAGGCAGAGUGGCAGAUAAAUGGGUGUUGGAUGGGAAGCUUGCCUCUCUCUGAGCCUGAGAACAUCCACAACCACAUCCUAACCUCUGCACCCAUAGCACAUGAUUCUGGGCCACACCUUGCUAGGUGCAGAGGAACUGUGGCCUAGCAUCCUUCCUCAACAAGAGAGGAGUGGCUUGUGCUCGAUUUUGAGAUCCUUUUGUGAAUAGCAGUUGAGAUGUGUUACUCUUUACUGCUAAGAAUGGUGGUUAUUCCUAGUCCAUUUGACUCAGAGGUGGGGAACUGUUACAUUGCUCUAUUUAUCCCACACGGUAUGCAGUUACUGAAACUGUCACCAUGUCCUAUAUUCCAUAGGCUAUUAUGUGUAUUUCAAACCAUUAUAUAAAUGGACUUGAUUUGGUACUUCUGAAUGUCAUUAAACUCCUCCCAUACCAGUAGCAACACCGUUUCCAUAGAAACAAAUAUAUUUCAGCAAGAAAGGCACAAGGAAGAAGCAGAUGGAGCAGAGGAGAAAAACAGCAUCCCAUUGCUGCUUUCAAGAGUGCGGGACCUGCUACUGUGCAAUGACCAUCCUGAGAAAGCGCUACGAGUGCCUUCAGGUUUGUACUGCCUUCCCCUCGGUAAAAUCCUGGGUAAUUCAUCUCUGCCCCAAACACACUCAUUCUGCUACACAGCUCUGAGAACUUUAUGGCACCACAGGUCAUUAGGCAUCUCGUUCAUUCCCACUCUUCUAUGCCUGCUCCAGGCUCUGGGGGAGGGGCCUGGAGUGAGGGUCUUAGCACUCAGUGAGUUCAGUGAUGAGCUUUGAGACUAGAUGUGGGCAGAGAGGCAGAGAGGGGAGAGGAGAGGAGGUCUCCUCAGGACACAGAAUAGGGGGAGAUCCCAAUAUCUACCUAAUAACUGUUGCUUCCCAGGUCACUUGACCCCUUGUUAGUACAGUUGGGAUCUAUCUAUCUAUCUAUCUAUCUAUCUAUCUAUCUAUCUAUCUCACCUCUUGGAAGAGAUGGAAGAGAUAGGCACCCACAGGCAUGGCAAGGGAGUGUUUCUCAUUUUGACUCAAGCAUUGGUUGCAAUGGCCUCUUUCAGGAAAGCGGCCAAGUGUCAAACUCUCCAAGAAGCUACCCUGGAUACACCUCACAUGGCUUUUAUCCUGAGUGGCGUCUCCUUCUCUGUGGCCACAGUUGAUUAUUCAUACCUGGGGACAGGCAGCUGUGACACUGCUCUACCGUAUUAUGUGCUUGAUAGCCUGGGGAUCAGAGACUGCCUUCAUAUGCCACAGGGCUGGCGCUGUGCCUUGCACUGAGAGCCACUGGGUGAAGGCAGUCAGUCCUAAGUGCCCAGCUCCAUUGUCCGCAAAGUUCUUUGCAUCCAGUGGAACUUGGUAAGGAUGUCGAACCAUCAAAAGAUGGUAUGGAUGACAUCCCAGCUUAUUAAACUGUGGAUCAUGAUGCCACUGGGAGUUGUUCUAAGAUGGUUAUAUGUGGAGGUGAUAGAAAAUUUGGCAUCAGUGAAAGAUUUCUGAGCAUGCAAUGACCCAAACACUGAACUCGAAGUCAAACAUGCAGUGAAUGAGGUGUUUCUGGCAGUACUCACUUGUGUCACGUCUGUGUCACGCCAGUGUCACAUCUGUUGGAGGCACUGCAGCCUUGGUUCUGAACACAUAGCGUGUGCACUCUUCACUGCACACUGUCAACCCACAUAGUGCCACCCAGUGCAGCCUGAGUCACCUACCUCAGCUCAGUCUUGAGACACCUGAGUGUCACAAAUGGUGGCCUUUUUACUGUGCAUACCAAGUUUUUGCUCUCACAGAAACAUAACCAUUUAAUUAUGGAAGACAAAAACUUCAAUAUUUUUCUACCAUCAUUCCUUGGUAUGUAAGUAUCAAAGUGGUGUAUCUUUGGAUUGUACCAAAUCUGCGUGUUUGAUUUUUUUAAAAAUGGUUAUUUAAAUUGCUGAUUUGAGUUUUAUGAGAAAACAAUACAAAACAUGAAAUGAACUUUGGCUUGGGAUUAGGAAAGAAUUUCCAACAAUUUCUCCAGUGCUAAAUAUACUUCUGCUGUGUCACACGAUACACUUAAUGCAAAACAGAAUUCUCAGCUCUGACAAUUUUAAGAUCAAAAUACUGAUCUGAAAGCCAUUGGAUAUGUUCCACACUCUGCAGCUGCAAAUAUUUAGUCAAGAUUGAAUUCUUUAUGUAAAAAUAAACAAGCACACCUAUCUCAUUAGC